CCUACGGGAUGCAGCAGUGAGGAAUAUUGGUCAAUGGACGAGAGUCUGAACCAGCCAAGUAGCGUGAAGGAUGACUGCCCUAUGGGUUGUAAACUUCUUUUAUAUGGGAAUAAAAUGUUCCACGUGUGGGAUUUUGUAUGUACCAUAUGAAUAAGGAUCGGCUAACUCCGUGCCAGCAGCCGCGGUAAUACGGAGGAUCCGAGCGUUAUCCGGAUUUUUUGGGUUUAAAGGGAGCGUAGGUGGAUUGUUAAGUGAGUUGUGAAAGUUUGCGGCUCAACCGUAAAAUUGCAGUUGAAACUGGCAGUCUUGAGUACAGUAGGGGUGGGCGGAAUUCGUGGUGUAGCGGUGAAAUGCUUAGAUAUCACGAAGAACUCCGAUUGCGAAGGCAGCUCACUGGACUGCAACUGACACUGAGGCUCGAAAGUGUGGGUAUCAAACAGGAUUAGAUACCCUAGUAGUC
rnacentral:rRNA from 1 species